rnacentral:tRNA from 1 species
GGGUUAAGUUUACAGAUGGUUUCUGUAGUAGACCUGCAAAGUCUUUUUUUUAGGUUCAAUUCCUACUUAACUCU